rnacentral:lncRNA from 1 species
AUGGCUGGUGAAGAGUCCACUGGACUGAGACUCUUCGACCAAGAGUCUUAAUACUUGGGGACUCUGAGUCCUAUGUGUCUGAAACUCUGUGAUCGAGAAUCAAGAUUCUCUGAUCAUGAGUUCCACACAUUUUGGAUAUCGAGGUCAAGAGUCCCACUGGUUUGGGACUCUUCGAUCAAGGUUUCAUAUCGAUGGACUUUGAUGCUCGAUUGC